GUCCACGCCGUAAACUAUCAAUACUCGUUUCAGCGAUAUACAGUUGGAGACUAAGCGAAAGUGAUAAGUAUUGCACCUGGGGAGUACGAUCGCAAGGUUGAAACUCAAAGGAAUUGACGGGGCCCGCACAAGCGGUGGAGCAUGUGGUUUAAUUCGAUGAUACGCGAGGAACCUUACCAGGGCUUAAAUGUAGAGGGAAUGAUUUGGAAACAGAUCAGUCUUCGGACCGUCUACAAGGUGCUGCAUGGCUGUCGU
rnacentral:rRNA from 1 species